rnacentral:rRNA from 1 species
ACGAACGCUGGCGGCGUGCCUAAUACAUGCAAGUCGUACGCUUCUUUUUCCACCGGAGCUUGCUCCACCGGAAAAAGAAGAGUGGCGAACGGGUGAGUAACACGUGGGUAACCUGCCCAUCAGAAGGGGAUAACACUUGGAAACAGGUGCUAAUACCGUAUAACAAUCGAAACCGCAUGGUUUUGAUUUGAAAGGCGCUUUCGGGUGUCGCUGAUGGAUGGACCCGCGGUGCAUUAGCUAGUUGGUGAGGUAACGGCUCACCAAGGCCACGAUGCAUAGCCGACCUGAGAGGGUGAUCGGCCACAUUGGGACUGAGACACGGCCCAAACUCCUACGGGAGGCAGCAGUAGGGAAUCUUCGGCAAUGGACGAAAGUCUGACCGAGCAACGCCGCGUGAGUGAAGAAGGUUUUCGGAUCGUAAAACUCUGUUGUUAGAGAAGAACAAGGAUGAGAGUAACUGUUCAUCCCUUGACGGUAUCUAACCAGAAAGCCACGGCUAACUACGUGCCAGCAGCCGCGGUAAUACGUAGGUGGCAAGCGUUGUCCGGAUUUAUUGGGCGUAAAGCGAGCGCAGGCGGUUUCUUAAGUCUGAUGUGAAAGCCCCCGGCUCAACCGGGGAGGGUCAUUGGAAACUGGGAGACUUGAGUGCAGAAGAGGAGAGUGGAAUUCCAUGUGUAGCGGUGAAAUGCGUAGAUAUAUGGAGGAACACCAGUGGCGAAGGCGGCUCUCUGGUCUGUAACUGACGCUGAGGCUCGAAAGCGUGGGGAGCAAACAGGAUUAGAUACCCUGGUAGUCCACGCCGUAAACGAUGAGUGCUAAGUGUUGGAGGGUUUCCGCCCUUCAGUGCUGCAGCUAACGCAUUAAGCACUCCGCCUGGGGAGUACGACCGCAAGGUUGAAACUCAAAGGAAUUGACGGGGGCCCGCACAAGCGGUGGAGCAUGUGGUUUAAUUCGAAGCAACGCGAAGAACCUUACCAGGUCUUGACAUCCUUUGACCACUCUAGAGAUAGAGCUUCCCCUUCGGGGGCAAAGUGACAGGUGGUGCAUGGUUGUCGUCAGCUCGUGUCGUGAGAUGUUGGGUUAAGUCCCGCAACGAGCGCAACCCUUAUUGUUAGUUGCCAUCAUUCAGUUGGGCACUCUAGCAAGACUGCCGGUGACAAACCGGAGGAAGGUGGGGAUGACGUCAAAUCAUCAUGCCCCUUAUGACCUGGGCUACACACGUGCUACAAUGGGAAGUACAACGAGUCGCGAAGUCGCGAGGCUAAGCUAAUCUCUUAAAGCUUCUCUCAGUUCGGAUUGUAGGCUGCAACUCGCCUACAUGAAGCCGGAAUCGCUAGUAAUCGCGGAUCAGCACGCCGCGGUGAAUACGUUCCCGGGCCUUGUACACACCGCCCGUCACACCACGAGAGUUUGUAACACCCGAAGUCGGUGAGGUAACCUUUUGGAGCCAGCCGCCUAAGGUGGGAUAGAUGAUUGGGGUG